rnacentral:rRNA from 1 species
UCCUUCUUUUUCAAUCGUUAAUCGGAAUUACUGGGCGUAAAGCGUGCGCAGGCGGUUCGGAAAGAAAGAUGUGAAAUCCCAGGGCUUAACCUUGGAACUGCAUUUUUAACUACCGGGCUAGAGUGUGUCAGAGGGAGGUGGAAUUCCGCGUGUAGCAGUGAAAUGCGUAGAUAUGCGGAGGAACACCGAUGGCGAAGGCAGCCUCCUGGGAUAACACUGACGCUCAUGCACGAAAGCGUGGGGAGCAAACA